UCACAAUGAGUCAGCUGGGUCG
rnacentral:misc_RNA from 1 species